AAAAAUGCCGGUUGCUUAGAGCUCUACGCAUGGUCUCACGCAUGCGGCACGCCUGUGCUUUACCUAAAGCAAGCUGCCACCCGGCGCUGUGUGCGUCCCGCCCGAUACUGUGCGCGUCCCGCACGGCACAUAAAAUGGGGCACAUGAGGCACCUGAAGCUCUCUUGAUGUGUUACAGUUCAUGCAUCUGCGCACCGACACGUGCCCCUCGUACUGGUGUCGUGGUGUGCGAAAAUGGUGCAAGUCCGCACGGCUCUCCCGCCCGCUCCGUCCACACGACCCGCAACCCACCACGUGCUGCACGCACGCAUUCUGCAAGGCCUACCAUUGCUACAAAACACUAAACGUACAGACCAGGCAUACUCAGGGUCUCGAGGCAAGUGUGAAGGCAACCGAUACGGAUCCCCUGCCAGCACUACACCCAGCCACCCGCCGAUCACACCAUAACACCAUGCGCGCACAGCGCCGCCUGCCAAUUCCGCUGCCGCCACCUGAAGUCUGCCGCUUGCCGCUAGCCGCCUCCGUACUUGAGCUCGGCCUGCAUGGUGUUUGGGGUAAGUUGGUCAGUGCAUGGUGGCACGGUGUCGUGCUCUAGGUACACGCAGGGCCUAGACGGCAUUCGGUCCCCUUGAACUAACUUCCCAUGUACGUCAUUCAAAUCCUAUCAUUCAUCCUAUUAUGAGUUGUGUAGCAAUUUCCGAUCAAACUUGCCUGGUGAGGGUUAGAAGGGCCACGCAUUUACGCGCGCUGCGCCCCGAGUCGAAUUCCAGUGCCGGACCUGAGGGGACAAGGGGAGGGGGAGGGGGGGAGCUUCACACUCUGCAUCUCUGCUUAUGCUCUUACAACUUCGUCCAUACUGCGCAUGGAUGCUAGCUCGCUUGACCCCCUGAAGUUGUUGUCGCUUGUCGACCCCCUGAAAUGGCUGUCGCUAUGUGUCCUGACCUGCCUCACCUGGCACUGUUGAUUCCAGACUUGGUCUCUGAUGCUUGAUUUACAUCCUGUAACAGCAGCGUCAAGACCUGGCUUAGUUGUAGACCCGGUCAACGAGGGUCCGACACCCCCUGCGACAGCGCAGCCCAGCCCCAGCCCCAGCAGCUCAUAAAAUACCUUCCAAAGAUUGAUGCCAGGGCUUAGCAGGACUUGAAGACUCGUCCUGUAGACUUGAGCGCCAACUUUGAAAGCAAGUCCAUUGCCGACUGGCAGCGGACCACGAAGUCUCUACAUGGUGCUGAAUGAUAAGUAUGUAGCUACAUGUGACAAAGACAGGUUGCUUGAAGAGUGAAGAAUUGAACUCGAAAUAUAUGAGCCCCAUGCAGCCCCAUGCAACAAGGAACGCGUUCCAUGCUGGGUCUUGAUUUGCUGUGCAUGCUCCGGUCAGACCUUAAAUUAAUCUAAAGCAGGCCGGUACGUCAGUCUUCAGCGCCGGUCCGGGCACGGGUCUCGCCUCCGCCUGCGCCUCCGCGGCUUGUGCUUAGGGAACCACCUGGAGCUGGAUACCGGCUUUCUCGGCUUCGCAUGGUUCGUCUUUACAGCUUUCUCAAUAACGGGGAAAGCCUCACAUGCACACGCACCUCCGCUCAUACCCACCGCCGCAUGAAGGAAGGCCGGGGGAGGCCUGGUGCGCCGGGCUGGAUACGGUGUAAGGCUCCCAUGCACACGCAACCUCCGCUCACGCCCACCGCCGCAUGAAGACACGCCGGGGGAACGCCUGGUGCGCCGGGCUGGAUACGGUGUAAGGCUCCCAUGCACACGCACCUCCGCUCACGCCCACCGCCGCAUGAAGACACGCCGGGGGAACGCCUGGUGCGCCGGGCUGGAUACGGUGUAAGGCUCACAUCCACACGCACCUCCGCUCAUGCCCACCGCCGCAUGAAGACACGCCGGGGGAACGCCUGGUGCGCCGGGCUGGAUACGGUGUAAGGCUCCCAUGCACACGCACCUCCGCUCACGUCCACCGCCGCAUGAAGGAAAGCCGGGGGAACGCCUGGUGCGCCGGGCUGGAUACGGUGUAAGGCUCCCAUGCACACGCACCUCCGCUCACGCCCACCGCCGCAUGAAGACACGCCGGGGGAACGCCUGGUGCGCCGGGCUGGAUACGGUGUAAGGCUCCCAUGCACACGCACCUCCGCUCACGCCCACCGCCGCAUGAAGACACGCCGGGGGAACGCCUGGUGCGCCGGGCUGGAUACGGUGUAAGGCUCCCAUGCACACGCACCUCCGCUCACGCCCACCGCCGCAUGAAGACACGCCGGGGGAACGCCUGGUGCGCCGGGCUGGAUACGGUGUAAGGCUCACAUGCACACGCACCUCCGCUCAUGCCCACCGCCGCAUGAAGGAAAGCCGGGGGAACGCCUGGUGCGCCGGGCUGGAUACGGUGUAAGGCUCCCAUGCACACGCACCUCCGCCCACGCCCACCGCCGCAUGAAGACACGCCGGGGGAACGCCUGGUGCGCCGGGCUGGAUACGGUGUAAGGCUCACAUGCACAUGCACCUCCGCUCAUGCCCACCGCCGCAUGAAGGAAAGCCGGGGGAACGCCUGGUGCGCCGGGCUGGAUACGGUGUAAGGCUC
rnacentral:lncRNA from 1 species